rnacentral:ncRNA from 2 species
UUGAAUAAGGAACGCUGCGACAGAGAGCACUCUGCUAGGCUUAUUCAAUUUUACAUUCCAAACGGCGUUCAUUAUUA